UAAAACCCCGCCCCCCCACAAGAUCACUUUACUACAGCAGCCUUGAAGGAGAUCUGAGAAGCAAAGCUGCUUUACACUGGCAACGAAAAGCUUUUGAGUGGCAGAGAGAGAGUGAGUCAGUGGAGGGACGUGGGGAACGCUGAAAAAGUCCAAGGUACAUUCCUUCUGCUUUCACAGUGGUGUGGGGUAAAUCACUGGUCUCUGGACUCCCACCAGUGGAGGAAGCUCAGGCUCUCAUUACAAGACUCAGGAGUAAACAGAGUCCGAGAGAGAAAUAGUGAAAACACGUUGCCGUUAAGUAGGGAAUCAGCAUCUGUUGGUGCUUAGGUCUCCCUUCCCCUUUUAUUAUUUUCGGAGUUGAGCUGGGAAAAAAAAAUAAUGAGUGCAUUGUGUACAGCGUUACUGGGAAUAGAGAAGAGAGUAUCAGGGCAACAGCAAAAAGAAAAGAAAACCUAAACAAGAGACCUGGAAGCUGCUGGUGAGAAGAGGAAAGAGGCAGCAGAGAGGAUAGAGGCCAGCUCUAGCUAUUAGAUGCAGGAACCGGAUGGCGGUUGGAGUGGAAUUUCAAUUCAGAAAGGAUGAAGGCGACGGCUUCCUCCAGCCUCAUCUGGGAUAUGUGCUGCCACCGGGACACAAAGGUGCUGCUUUGAGCAGAUGCUAUGCCGCAGGGCAACACUGAAUAUUUGUAAUUGGAUUCCAUCCCUGGAGUUAAUUAUAAAGAGACAAUAAAAACUGCUUGGCUUCUAUUUGAAUAACCAUUACUUUGUGUUAAAAUUCUUUGUGGGGGGGGGAGAGGGGGUAGAUAUUUGUAGUUUUAAUUUAACAUGAACCCUUUGUACAUAUUAUAUCUGUGCGUUUAUACACAGACGUUACACAGAUAUAUAGACACAUUUUAUGUUUUAUAUAUAUGUAAAUGUAUUUGUGUGUGUGUGCGUG